GGCAUCGAGAGGGUGCAGCAGGACACGCCCACGGUGGCCUCGGGCAGCUCGUCGUCCUCCGUCCACUCGUUGAGCUCCGGGCUGAAGCACUGGAUGCACUUCUUGUACUUCUUCUCGCCCUCGUUCCAGCCCCCCAGCAGGGUCUCUGUACAGGAUGUCUCUACUAAGGGACUUCUCCGUAAGGCCUGGACGUCCCCCAACAGUGACGAGGACUCGACAGCCCCCGCGGAUUCUUGUGCGCCUAGACUGCAAUGUGUUUUGACGAUAUGGAAUUACCCGUGGUCAGCUGUGGUCAGGAAGCAAUGAUCCUCCUGACAUAUCAUCAGAAGGGCAGCAACAACUCCAACAGAAAGUAUCACUGUAUUGAAGAAGCAGAGGGUUUGUGGCAAACACAUCCCCUGGAAAGUGAGCUGGGAAUUCUGGGCAAGAGAGAUCCCAAAAGGGGAAUGAAGGAAUGAAGAACAUGAGAAAUAAUAAAUAUCUGGAUGCAUAUAAAAGACUCUGAACUUCUUUAAAAUUCAUAUAACUCUUCAAAGCAAAACUGGUAACAUCGUCUCAUGGAGAUUCUAACAUUUCUGGAUGUAGCACAUAUGAUUAUUACAGUAUAAAGGAUGGAGUGAUGGGGGAGUUUCUAUGUUGCCAAUAUGGAUAUUUCUGGGACUUCAAGGAGUUCUCUGACUUUUGUGUUACCGAUUGAAUUAAACUGAUUGUAUUUCAUCUAAACCUAUCAGGCAUCGCUUUGCGUGUUGGCACACUAGAAAAUUAUUCUGCACCCUGAAGGAGUGGCGGGAACAAAGAGAACUUCGGAAGCUGUGACUGUUGGGACAAUCUGAAGAAAAUACCGAGAGAGGACUUACGAUGGAUGAAACACCUGUGCAAGUGUAUGGGGGUUGUUGGGCAACAAGUGGAUUUAGCGAACAUUCUUAUACCCUAUUGUGGCCAAAAUUGGGCCCGAUGGGCGGAUAUUCCUGGGAAAUAUUAAAAGUAAGGAAAGAAAACUCUGAUAGCAA